rnacentral:rRNA from 2 species
UAGAGUUUGAUCAUGGCUCAGGACGAACGCUGGCGGCGUGCCUAAUACAUGCAAGUCGAACGAACUCUGGUAUUGAUUGGUGCUUGCAUCAUGAUUUACAUUUGAGUGAGUGGCGAACUGGUGAGUAACACGUGGGAAACCUGCCCAGAAGCGGGGGAUAACACCUGGAAACAGAUGCUAAUACCGCAUAACAACUUGGACCGCAUGGUCCGAGUUUGAAAGAUGGCUUCGGCUAUCACUUUUGGAUGGUCCCGCGGCGUAUUAGCUAGAUGGUGGGGUAACGGCUCACCAUGGCAAUGAUACGUAGCCGACCUGAGAGGGUAAUCGGCCACAUUGGGACUGAGACACGGCCCAAACUCCUACGGGAGGCAGCAGUAGGGAAUCUUCCACAAUGGCGAAAGUCUGAUGGAGCAACGCCGCGUGAGUGAAGAAGGGUUUCGGCUCGUAAAACUCUGUUGUUAAAGAAGAACAUAUCUGAGAGUAACUGUUCAGGUAUUGACGGUAUUUAACCAGAAAGCCACGGCUAACUACGUGCCAGCAGCCGCGGUAAUACGUAGGUGGCAAGCGUUGUCCGGAUUUAUUGGGCGUAAAGCGAGCGCAGGCGGUUUUUUAAGUCUGAUGUGAAAGCCUUCGGCUCAACCGAAGAAGUGCAUCGGAAACUGGGAAACUUGAGUGCAGAAGAGGACAGUGGAACUCCAUGUGUAGCGGUGAAAUGCGUAGAUAUAUGGAAGAACACCAGUGGCGAAGGCGGCUGUCUGGUCUGUAACUGACGCUGAGGCUCGAAAGUAUGGGUAGCAAACAGGAUUAGAUACCCUGGUAGUCCAUACCGUAAACGAUGAAUGCUAAGUGUUGGAGGGUUUCCGCCCUUCAGUGCUGCAGCUAACGCAUUAAGCAUUCCGCCUGGGGAGUACGGCCGCAAGGCUGAAACUCAAAGGAAUUGACGGGGGCCCGCACAAGCGGUGGAGCAUGUGGUUUAAUUCGAAGCUACGCGAAGAACCUUACCAGGUCUUGACAUACUAUGCAAAUCUAAGAGAUUAGACGUUCCCUUCGGGGACAUGGAUACAGGUGGUGCAUGGUUGUCGUCAGCUCGUGUCGUGAGAUGUUGGGUUAAGUCCCGCAACGAGCGCAACCCUUAUUAUCAGUUGCCAGCAUUAAGUUGGGCACUCUGGUGAGACUGCCGGUGACAAACCGGAGGAAGGUGGGGAUGACGUCAAAUCAUCAUGCCCCUUAUGACCUGGGCUACACACGUGCUACAAUGGAUGGUACAACGAGUUGCGAACUCGCGAGAGUAAGCUAAUCUCUUAAAGCCAUUCUCAGUUCGGAUUGUAGGCUGCAACUCGCCUACAUGAAGUCGGAAUCGCUAGUAAUCGCGGAUCAGCAUGCCGCGGUGAAUACGUUCCCGGGCCUUGUACACACCGCCCGUCACACCAUGAGAGUUUGUAACACCCAAAGUCGGUGGGGUAACCUUUUAGGAACCAGCCGCCUAAGGUGGGACAGAUGAUUAGGGUGAAGUCGUAACAAGGUAGCCGUAGGAGAACCUGCGGUUGGAUACACACCUCUCUUAA